rnacentral:rRNA from 1 species
UACGUAGGGUGCAGGCGUUAAUCGGAAUUACUGGGCGUAAAGCGUGCGCAGGCGGUCUGCUAAGAGAGAUGUGAAAUCCCCGGGCUUAACCUGGGAACUGCGUUUCUAACUGGCAGGCUUGAGUGUGGCAGAGGGGGGUGGAAUUCCACGUGUAGCAGUGAAAUGCGUAGAGAUGUGGAGGAACACCGAUGGCGAAGGCGGCAUCCUGGACCAAUUCUGACGCUGAGGAGCGAAAGCCAGGGGAGCAAACGGG